UCCGAAUUGGUGUAGUGGCUAACAUUUGACGCUCUCAUGGGGCAUCAUCUCUAUCAUGUGUGUUGUAUGAUCUCCAGAUCCGUCAAGCCCGGGGUUCGAUUCCCCGAUUCGGAG